rnacentral:rRNA from 1 species
CAGCAGCCACGGGAAUACAGAGGGUGCGAGCGUUAAUCGGAAUUACUGGGCGUAAAGCGUGCGCAGGCGGUUAUAUAAGACAGAUGUGAAAUCCCCGGGCUCAACCUGGGAACUGCAUUUGUGACUGUAUAGCUAGAGUACGGCAGAGGGGGAUGGAAUUCCGCGUGUAGCAGUGAAAUGCGUAGAUAUGCGGAGGAACACCGAUGGCGAAGGCAAUCCCCUGGGCCUGUACUGACGCUCAUGCACGAAAGCGUGGGGAGCAAACAGGAUUAGAUACCCCGGUAGUCCCUGUCUCUUAUAC